AGUGAACGCUGGCGGUAGGCCUAACACAUGCAAGUCGAACGGCAGCACAGUAAGAGCUUGCUCUUACGGGUGGCGAGUGGCGGACGGGUGAGGAAUACAUCGGAAUCUACUUUUUCGUGGGGGAUAACGUAGGGAAACUUACGCUAAUACCGCAUACGACCUACGGGUGAAAGCAGGGGAUCUUCGGACCUUGCGCGAUUGAAUGAGCCGAUGUCGGAUUAGCUAGUUGGCGGGGUAAAGGCCCACCAAGGCGACGAUCCGUAGCUGGUCUGAGAGGAUGAGCAGCCACACUGGCACUGAGACACGGUCCAGACUCCUACGGGAGGCAGCAGGGGGGAAUAGUGGAAAAUGGGCGCAAGCCGGAUCCAGCCAUACCGCGUGGGUGAAGAAGGCCUUCGGGUUGUAAAGCCCUUUUGUUGGGAAAGAAAAGCAGCAGGUUAAUACCCCGCUGUUCUGACGGUACCCAAAGAAUAAGCACCGGCUAACUUCGUG
rnacentral:rRNA from 1 species